UGGGGAAUAUUGCACAAUGGGCGCAAGCCUGAUGCAGCCAUGCCGCGUGUAUGAAGAAGGCCUUCGGGUUGUAAAGUACUUUCAGCGGGGAGGAAGGCGAUAAGGUUAAUAACCUUGUCGAUUGACGUUACCCGCAGAAGAAGCACCGGCUAACUCCGUGCCAGCAGCCGCGGUAAUACGGAGGGUGCAAGCGUUAAUCGGAAUUACUGGGCGUAAAGCGCACGCAUGCGGUCUGUCAAGUCGGAUGUGAAAUCCCCGGGCUCAACCUGGGAACUGCAUUCGAAACUGGCAGGCUAGAGUCUUGUAGAGGGGGGUAGAAUUCCAGGUGUAGCGGUGAAAUGCGUAGAGAUCUGGAGGAAUACCGGUGGCGAAGGCGGCCCCCUGGACAAAGACUGACGCUCAGGUGCGAAAGCGUGGGGAGCAAACA
rnacentral:rRNA from 1 species